CUACUUAUCCAACAGAGAAUGGACUGAGAUCAAUAACAUGGCCUUCCUGGGUAAGGAUAUUCUUUGCAUUCCAGGUAUGCUGACUCUUGCGAUUUCACCAAACGUGGAGAAGCUGACUGCAUAAAUUGUAGCGAAAGACUGUAUUUACACCUUUAA
rnacentral:snRNA from 17 species